GCCUGGGUGGCUCAGUAGGUUAAGCGUCUGACUUCGGCUCAGGUCACGAUCUCGCGGUCCGUGAGUUCGAGCCCCGCGUCGGGCU
rnacentral:tRNA from 1 species